GAGCAAAUUGUUAUCAACUGCUUUGUUCAUGGCAUGCUCCCAUUUUUAAUUUCCAGUAGCUAGAAAACUUGAAUGGUGGGAAGUGAACCAGCAAAUAUCAAAUUUGGGCAGUAAAUACAUCAACCUAUAUAAGAAACUUGAAUUCAGUUUCGGGGCUUUGGGUAUGUGGAGACUUUGCAGUAUCUCCAAACGUUAAAGUGGCUAGAA
rnacentral:misc_RNA from 1 species